GGAAGUCCUCGCGCGUCUCUUGGCCUGUCUCUGCCAACGUAUCCUGAACUGUACAUGUACAGUCCCACCAGGCAGGGAACUGAUGAAAACAGACUGGAAAGAAAAAAGUAUUAUCGUGCAUAGGGACAAAUGCUCGGACCUGCUGCGCGCAUAAAAACGCAAAAACAAUAAACACGGGUGCCGGAUACGCAAGAAGGUGGUAGGGUAAGACCAAGAGUAGUGCACGAACAGUGGACGGCCGUUUUCCUCUUUCCUGCUCGAUGUAUGCAUGCAAGUAACUGUUCUGUGUGUUAAGUUUGAUGUUUCAGUCAGUCCUGUGAUGGGAAUGGCCGUCGCCUGGUAUGCGACGGUGGUCAACGGUAUAUAUACGCGACGCAGGAGAUUGCGGAAGGUAACCUCCAAAAGCUGGCUUCAAACCUCAACCCAGCUUUAAAUUGUUAGCUCGACG
rnacentral:lncRNA from 1 species